CCUACGGGAGGCAGCAGUGGGGAAUUUUGGACAAUGGGCGCAAGCCUGAUCCAGCCAUGCCGCGUGCGGGAAGAAGGCCUUCGGGUUGUAAACCGCUUUUGGCAGGAACGAAACGGCGCUCGCUAAUACCGGGCGCUAAUGACGGUACCUGCAGAAUAAGCACCGGCUAACUACGUGCCAGCAGCCGCGGUAAUACGUAGGGUGCAAGCGUUAAUCGGAAUUACUGGGCGUAAAGCGUACGCAGGCGGUCAUGUAAGACAGGUGGGAAAUCCCCGGGCUUAACCUGGGAACUGCAUUUGUGACUGCAUGGCUAGAGUUUGUCAGAGGGGGGUGGAAUUCCACGUGUAGCAGUGAAAUGCGUAGAGAUGUGGAGGAACACCGAUGGCGAAGGCGGCCCCCUGG
rnacentral:rRNA from 1 species